CCAAACUAAAUCCAUUCAAGGGGAAGAGUGGAAGAAUACAACAUGGAGAUUAUAGUGAUAGUAGUUUAUUAAUGUACUCAAGCAUCCUAAAUAGAGAAGAAAAACAAUAAUUCAUGCUGAUAAUCAUGAAUUUAUAGCAAUAAGGAACAUGGAGAAUACAACAUGGAGAUUAUAGUGAUAGUAGUUUAUUAAUGUACUCAAGCAUCCUAAAUAGAGAAGAAAAACAAUAAUUCAUGCUGAUAAUCAUGAAUUUAUAGCAAUAAGGAACAUAUAGAGUAGAGAAUUUUUACAAUGAAGCAAGAAGCUAUUGACUAUAAUCAGAAUCUCCGCUGUAUCAUUUUGUUUACAAUAACUCUCCCUCACCUUUCAGCUCUUUGCCCAAUUUUAAUCCCAAAAUGAAGCUCUCCCUCUUCGCCAAAAUGCUCCCUGAUCUCUCUCUAAUUUUCACUUCCCAAAAGAAAAGAAGAAUCGGGCUUCUCUUCUUCCUCUAGGCUUUCUUUUCUAUUCUCACCUCAUCUCUCCCCUCUUAUUAUUGUCUUCUUCUGCUUCUGAUUUUUCUCUCCUUCACCCCUGAUUUUCUCUUACUUUCUGUUUUUCCAAUUGCCCUACUCUCUGCUCUGUUUAUAUAUGAAGACACUAACACUAGUGAGCCGUGCUCAAUCCUGCUCGAUCAGAAUACCAUCGUUGAACCCCCAAACUUCUCUUUCCUCUCACUUUGAGCAAUGGAUUUUGAGAGGAGACAUGCCCCCUCCUAGUUGUUUUCUAGCUUAAGAAGGAGGGGAAAAAGAGCUGGGAUUAAAUACUCAAAUAAGGAGACCUGAAAACAGACGCUAGAAAGAACACUAGAGAAAAAUCUAUUUAAAGAACUGAAACACAAGAAAAAUGAAACCUCACCCUUGAGACACAAAAAGAGAAAAUUAUUGGCACUGGUUCAUUGGUCAUGAAUCUCAAUGUUUAUAGCACAUGCAUUAUUUGUGCAUGGAUUCAAAAAUAUUUUAUUAAGCAUUAGUCAAGUAUGCAAUAAAGGAAAGAAAGUGUUUUUGGUUCCACAAACUACAUAGCAUUUGAUAGUAAAACCAAUAAAAUCAAUUAUAUUGGACAUAGCUAAGGUAACGUUUACUUGACUUAUCUUGAUGGUAUGAAUUUGGAAAAUGAAAUUUUUUUAUGGCCAAUUUAAGUGAGUAGUUGGAUAUGACAUAAAAUACUAGGGCAUGUUACUAUUAGCAUUAUUUCAAAACUAUAAAUGUUUGAUUUAAAAAGACAAUGAAACUAAGCAAACCUUAAGCAAAUAAUUUUUAAGCCAAUUUGGAUAAAAUAGAGCCAAAGAUUCUGAAAAUAUGUCUUUAAAAUCUUAAAAAUUUUGAGUCAUCACUAAUUCUAUUGAAUGCGAGAUCAAAAGAAAAAGUUAUCGUUUCUUAGACAUCAUAUCUAAGAAGUCUUCAGCAUCACAUUUAAGAGCUUUUUUUGUAAAGAAAAAGUUAACUAUGUAUUAGUAUGGUACCAAAGGGGGUACCACCCAUAUACACAAGAAUUUACAAGGUUGUAAGAGUAUCAAUGACAUCCCCAAAUCUUCAUCCCUAAUAAUCUCAUGCCCCAAAAUAAAAAACCCAAAAUAUUUGAACCACCUAUCUCUUUGCUUAUAUCUAUCAACCUCUAAACCCCCAAAAACUCUCAAAUUUCUUUUUUUUUUCAAAUAACCCAAAAAAUAGUUAGUGAAAUAAUCUUUACUCUUGCCCGAAUAAAUCCCUCCCCAAGCCCAUACCUCAGCAAACAUCGAGCCCAUGGAAACCCAUUGCAUACCUAACAAAUUAUAUAUCAUGCACCAUAAAUCAUACACAAUAGGGCAUCUAAGGAGUAGGUGACAGCAAGUUUGAUUGCAUCACUUAACAAGAAAUUGGAAAACUCUCAAAAUAUAUUACUGAAUAAUUGAAUACUCCAAUAAGUGAAACUAGAAAGCUAUUUUUAAUAAUUUUUAAGUAGUCUUUCUUAAAUAGAAUUACACUAAUAACUAAUAAAAUUAGGAAUACUAAUCUAAAUCGAAAACAUACUAAUAAGAAUAAAAUUCUAAGUUACUAAAAAUAUAAUAAUACUUCUAAAUAAUAUAAUAAUAUACUC
rnacentral:lncRNA from 1 species